UCUGGUGCACCCCGAGCAUGCACGCAAGGUGCUCGAUGCAUUGAAAGUCACUCGCAACAACCUCCACAACAGCUCAAACAAAACAUGGUCAUGUUAUGGAUCAAAACCAACCUCCUAGACAUCCUGGUUGGGCUGGAUCAUCAACUCCACAAUGCAGGUUCAAAGCCAUGCCAAAUUUGUUCAUGCUCCAGAGUGUUUGAUGAAAUGCCAAGGGCUCCCAAAGAUCUUUGAUGCCCACUAAAAUCUCUAGAUCAGGGUCUCUCUAGGUGUUAGCAAUGGUAGUAAGGUUAGUUCGACAAAUUAUCAAAACUAGCUAAUGCAAAAUUUUGAAGAACAC
rnacentral:lncRNA from 1 species